CUGUCAUCAUACGUGUCACGCGUGUCACACGUGGCAACACGUGGCGUCAUACGUGGCGUCAUGUGGGUCGUAUGGGGCAACAUGUGUCGUCCUACGUGUCAUCUGUGUCAUCAUACGUGUCAUCAUACGUGUCAUCUGUGUUGGACGUGUCAUCAUGUGUCAUCAUACGUGUCAUCAUAUGUGUCAUCUGUGUCAGACGUGUCAUCAUGUGUCAUCAUACGUGUCAUCAUACGUGUCACGUGUGUCAUCCACGCCGUCACACGUGUCAUCCCGUGUUGCGCGUGCCCUCCGUGCCCUCACGUCACCACGCCGCAUGUCAUACGUGUUAUCCCAUGUGUUGUAUGUGCCCCACGUGUGCCCCCAUGCCGUCCUUGUCACACGGGCUGCGCGUGUCAUCCGUGCCACGCGUGUCAUCAUCCGUGUUACCCCGCGUUGCGUGUGCCAUGCACGUCACGCGUGUCACACGUGUCCCAUGCGUGCUGACACGCCACCGCACGCGCAUCACACGCGUGUGUGUGCGCGCCACGCGUGUCCCGCGUUGUGUCGGACGUGGCACCACGCGUGUCGCCAUGCCCGGCGUCGCGUGACACGCGUGUCCCGCGCGCCGCGCCGCGGCUGACACACACACACAUGCGCGUGUGCUGCCUGGCAGGGGCGGUGUCGUGCUCCCCGGAUCAGUUCGACUGCGGCGACGCCGUGGGCCGCGAGCGCUGCGUGCCGCUCACCUGGCGCUGCGACGGGCACCGCGACUGCGGCGGCGGAAGCGACGAGGACGGAUGCGGUGAGAGA
rnacentral:lncRNA from 1 species